AAUGAACGUUGGCGGCGUGGAUUAGGCAUGCAAGUCGUACGGGUCGGUGUAGCAAUACAACGGCAAGUGGCGAAAGGGAGAGUAACACGUAGAUACCUACCCUCUGGUCGGGGAUACCGCGGCAUAACCGCAAGUAAUACCCGAUAAAAUCUCCGGAUCAAAGGUGUGAUUCCGCCGGAGGAGGGGUCUGCGUUCUAUCAGCUUGUUGGUGAGGUAAUGGCUCACCAAGGCUAAGACGGAUACGGGGUGUGAGAGCAUGCCCCCGCUCACUGGGACUGAGACACUGCCCAGACACCUACGGGUGGCUGCAGUCGAGAAUCUUCGGCAAUGGGCGCAAGCCUGACCGAGCGACGCCGCGUGCGGGAUGGAGGCCUUCGGGUUGUAAACCGCUGUCGAGGGGAAUGAAGUGUAGGUGGGUACUCCCAUCUAUUUGACAGAUCCCUGGAGGAAGCAUGGGCUAAGUUCGUGCCAGCCGCCGCCGUAACAC
rnacentral:rRNA from 1 species